UUGAAUUUAUUGUUGUGUCAGUUCAGCUUCACAAGAGCAUGCAUCAAUGCCGAAAAAAGGAAAUACGCGGUUUGCAACCUGUGUUCCUAAAUAAAUCACUGAGUAAAUCCAUCCUUUCCACUUCCAAUCAACCUCGGGUCCUAAAAAAAUCAAUGCUUUCUCUUUUCCCAUUCCUUAUUCAUCUCAUAUUCGAUGUAUUCCGAUGCAUCUUUCCAUCGAUUCACUUCAACUGUCAUCAAUGGUUUAUCUUUUCCCAAACCUCAGUCAGUAAUGUUGAUUUGUGUUGAAUUCAUAUCUAUAAAUAGGUCAAUUUUCAGACGGUGUCGGGUCGAAGGUGAUUCAUGUGUUUUGCGUAAUAGUGGCGAGAUCAUUUGGUGAAAAAUUGAUGGGACUGGGUAGAGGUAGGGUUCCAUUUGGUGCACUCAACAACAAAUCGGAAGUCAAUGAUGUUAGUAGUGGUGGUUCUUCUGAUGGAUCUGAAGGUAGUAUUGUUGAUUUUACUGAAGAGGAAGUAGAUGCUUUGCUGGAUGAGAAGAUGAAAAAGGAGAGAUUCCUCGUGAUACUGAGAAGAAAUGGAGAAUGUGGUGGAUCUCAUCAAGAGACUUAAGCAAUAUAUAAGAUGAUUUAAGGGAAGAAAAGAAAAGCUUCAGACAGAUCUUGAAAGAAAUACAGUGAUAGUGGGGAAAAGAGGUAUUGAGAAACAGCCCUUCCAGCUUCCUGAUUUUAUUGUUGUCUAUUGUGUUAAUAAAAUUUCAAUAAGCAUCAAAGAGAUUGUUCUUAUACACUUGCUUUUAUAUGCUUUUGUAGCUGUCUAUAUGGCGUUGCAAUGACGAGGUUCGUGUUAGGGCUGAUGAGCUCCAUAGAUCAUCUAAGAGAGAUGCAGAACAUUAGAUUUGUAUGUAAAUCGACGAAUUUCUUGUAGUUCUAUACUUUGACAUUGAAACGUGCCAGUUUGGAUUAAUUAGCAUGGUGUGUUGUACCAUUAAGCAGUUUCUUACAAGGUCCGGCUAGGUAUCGAAGAUACACUAUUGAGGAAAUAGAAGAAGGGACAAAAUACUUUUCCAACUCACUGAAGUUGGUGAAGUAGGUUAUGGACCAGUCUAUAGGGCUGAAUUAGAUCUCACUGCAUUUGCAAUAAAAGUGUUGAAACCCGGUGCAGCUCAAGGAUGGUUGCAAUUUCAACACGAGAUUGAAAUUGUGAUUAGCAUAAGGCAUCCAAACAUGGUUCUUUUAUUUGAAGCGUUUCCGGGGUUCGGUUGCUUACUGUAUGUGCACAUAAGUAAUGGAACUGUUUGUCUGUCACACUUUUGAUAUUUGUCAUUAGAACUGAACAACCAUUUUCAACUCUGUUUGUUGAUAUACUCAAUCAUGACUUGGAUUUUAUUUAGUUUUUAUAUUGCUUACACCAAAUGAGUAUGUUUGAGAGAUUUAUUUGUUA